CUAAAGGUACCAACACAAGGGAUGCGUACAUCGGCCUCACGGCCUACCACAGGUGAUUAUGGGGUCAUGGACAAAGGAUGCCACUUCAGAGGACUAUAGGGAAUGAAGCUCCACCCUGCUUCACACUGACACAGUUAUAUACGUUCACACUCCUGGGAGCUAAAGGAGUCUUCAACUAUCGCUACUGAGGAGCUCCAACCGAGGGGUAAAUGCACUUUCACAACCAAAAUGUUGCGACUGAACCGGCAGGCGCACGGUCAUGAACCUGCUUCUCUAACUGCUUGUCUCCUGCCACACCUCUGGGGUUCAGAGGGUCUUUUUCGGGUGGAUCUCUACUGUUAACCCCUGCGGUUCAGCUCCCGAAAAAAAUUGAAAAAGGGAAGAUGAAAGGGAUAAAGGGGAUAAGGAAACUCACUGCAGAGAACACAACAACAGACUUCUGGGAAAAGAGAUGAGGUUGGAGAGGACAGAAGAAACAGAAGGAAAAGAGUGGAAACCAC